ACCUAUUCAAUCGGCCAGAUAUUUUUUUUUACUAGUCAUUUGAUGUGACUAGUGAGUUAUAUAUUUAUUGGAUAGAUGGGAUAUAAGAUGUAUACUCCUUUUAGGAUAUACAUGCAGCUUUUUUUCAAAAAAAAAGAAAAGAAAACAAAAAGAAAAAUUCCUAAAGCACAGGUUAGCUGAUGGCUCAGAGGGUGUGUUUGGUUCCACGUAAAACUGUGAAAAAAAAUUUUCGGUGGGAAAAAAAUUUUACGUCGUUUGUGUUUGGUUUGUAGAAAAGAAAAAUGAUUUUCCGUGACAGUUGUUUGGUUGAAAGAAAAAGAAAAAAAUAAAAAACUAUUUAAUAUAUAUUUUCUCUUAUUAUAUAUAUUAUUAUAUAUUAUUAAUAUAUAAUAAUUAUCAUAAUAUAUUUAAUUAUUAUAAUUUAUAUUUAUAAACAAGAUAUAUUUAAAAUAUAUAUAUAAUAAAUAUAUAAUAUAAUAUAUAAUAAUAUAUUUAAUAUUAUAAAAUAGAUUAUUAUAUAUUUAUAUAUAUAUAAAAUCAAAGAAGGAGAGAGAGAGGUCCACUGCUCUUUCUCUCUCUCUCUCUCUCUCACACAGGCGGUCCACGAGGUGAAGCUCACUUCACCUCGUGGACCGCGCACAAAAAUCCUAUGAACCUGCCAAUUUUUUACUGUAGCUUUACGUGCAGAGCGGAAAACAAAAACUCUAAAUUUUCAGCGUAUCCGUAAAAAAAACUUUCCGAGAAAAUUUUUUUACAGAGAACCAAACAUCAGAAAAACAUUUUUCAACUAAAAAUUAAUUUUCAAAGUACUUUUACAGCAAACCAAAUACCCCCUUAGUGUCCAUUUGGUAUAACUUUUUUUUUAAAAUUUUGAGAGAAAGGUAGUAUGCUAUUCGCUUCAUUUAUUUUAUUUAGAAAUAAACUUAGCUGAAAAUAUAAAUCAACUAGUAUUCAAACAUGGGUCUCGAGUAUCAACUAUCAAGUCUUUUUACCACUUGCGCAAGGGACGGUUGGUCCAUUUGGUAUAACUCAAUAAAU
rnacentral:lncRNA from 1 species